CUGAACAAACAGGGCAACAUCUCCCGGACCUUGUGACUUUGGCUGGUGUUUACAGAGUGAAGCUGCUUUGGCGUAUCCUGGGUUCCACUUCAUUAUCUCCAUAAUCAAACCUGGGGCUGCAUAAGAAGAGCACAACCACUCUCCAAGUGAUUUAACAGGAUGCUUUAAUGAUGUAUUGAGAAUGAACAUUGAUCCCAGGUAAGAGGUGCUAAACUGAUACUUUAAAAGCACACCACCCAUUUCGCUCUGAUGGACUCUCCUCCUUAAAUCACCGUGUUGUCAUUUUUACGAUGCAGAUCUAGCUAUUGAGGCUACAGGACUGUGAAAUGUCAUAUAAAAAAGCCAAUAAGAAAAAAAUAAAAUUAAGUUGCGGAGAGCGUGUAUUAGCAUUUCAAAAAUGUUCUGUUGCAUUAUGCUAUUAUUCUCUCUCUGUCAAGGGGCACUGGGAUCCUUUCCUCCCCAUAAAGAGACUGUGCCACAGAAUGUAUUAGCGCUCCGUUCCUGAAACGGCGUGGCAGCUGAAGGGCAUAGUUACAAUAAUGGCAAAAUACAUUCCGGACUAAAUUUGAUAGGACGUGGGGGCAGUCCGCCUCCUCUGAUGACAAAGUCCUGAUUGCUUCUCUCCUUGUUGGCUCAGUCCUGUGGCUUUCAAAGUUUUGACAAAUGAAUGUUUUCAGCAUUUCUGCCCUGCAAGAAAGUGAGGAAUGAGAUCUGCUGAGGUGAGGGUCUGACUCUUGCAUUUCAGAUGACAAUGCGGGGACUGGGAUUUUGUAAAGGGCAGGUCACCCCUACUCUAUGCUCU
rnacentral:lncRNA from 1 species